CAACUUUAUUUAAAAGUACAGUCCAUUAUCCAAUUGUGAAAAAGUUCAACCCUCUACCAAAACUUAAAACACACUUGUAUCUCAAGGAAUCAUGGUAGCUAACAGCUAACACUUUGUUUUAGAUGUUAUACAUAGAAUAAAACAAUUAAUAUGCUUUUCAUGUCAGUUGUGGUCAGAUAAACAUUUUUCUAAAAUAUUGCAAAAGGCAAACCUAUAUGGCAAAUAUGUGAAUGAACCUGUGCUUUAUAUGGUUAAAUAUUACACACUAGACUUAAGAAAAAAUUAAGCAAAUAAAGCAUAAAAACUGCUCAGUACCUGUACUCCGUGUAAUGACAAUAAAGUUAAAGUUUAGCCAAUAAUAAUAAAAAAAAGAAGUGGCCACUGUUGUAGCACAGGUACGAAAAUUAUGUUAUUCCUCUUAAGAUCAAAACGAAAGGAAAAAAGAAUAAACCAACAUUUCCAGAUUCAAGACGACUAAUUAAUUAGCUAGCUAAUGCUAAUUUUUAUUUAUUUUUAGCUAAUGCUAAUAGAGUCCGACCGUCCACCCGGAAAUGAGUUAGCAUUUAGAGCCCUUUGUUCCCUUGUCUCAAAGUCAUUGGGUUUUUUGAAUGGGUUCUUGAUUAUGAGCCUCAAAAAGGUCUGCAAAUAACACAAGCUUUAAGAAUUUUCACGUUUUAUUCUCUAUUAAUACCCCACUGUGAAUUUUGAAGUCUAUGUGCCUUAAAAAUAGCGGUUACUAACAAGCGGCUAAAUAAGACUACAGAACGUCAUCACGCCGAGCUGCGUUGAACACGGCCUUGGAAACGUUACAUCACGCGACCGUAGUGUAGUUCGUUUUUAGCCUAACGGUAGCCUUUUAUUUCUGGCUAAUGCAUUCAGACUUUAAUAAUCAUGGAACCGGGGCGAAGCUAACGGCCGCGUCGGUUUAAAGAAAAACGUCAUCCUCGGCGGAUAACGUUAGCAGGGUUAGCAGUUAACAACGGCAGUUAACUUUUUUUUCUGUUGGAAGACACAGCUGGAGUCCAAUCAGCACUCUGCAUGCCUCUGAGGUGUCCAUAAGAUGCUGGAUGUCUGCCUGCUCAUUCCCAGUAAGCUGGUGUAGAUGAGGUCAUCAGCCGAGGCCCCCAGACGUAAAC